GCACGAACGGUAUGCCUUCGUUAGCAA
rnacentral:sRNA from 1 species